GACGAACGCUGGCGGCGUGCUUAACACAUGCCAGUCGAACGGAAAGGCCCUGCUUUUGUGGGGUGCUCGAGUGGCGAACGGGUGAGUAACACGUGAGUAACCUGCCCUUGACUUUGGGAUAACUUCAGGAAACUGGGGCUAAUACCGGAUAGGAGCUCCUGCUGCAUGGUGGGGGUUGGAAAGUUUCGGCGGUUGGGGAGGGAGUCGCGGCUUAUCAGCUUGUUGGUAGGGUAGGGACUUACCAAGCGUUUGACGGGUAGCCGGCCUGAGCGGGGAAACGGCCACGUCUGGUAUGGGAUGCAGCCGAGAGUACUACGGGACAGCGGUGGGGAAUAUGGCACAAUGGGCGGACGCCUGAUGCAGAAGCGCCGCGUGGGGGAAGACGGCCUUCGGGGUGUAAACCGCUUUAGCCUGUGACGAAGCGUGAGUGACGGUAAUGGGUGAAGAAGCACCGGCUAACUACGUG
rnacentral:rRNA from 1 species